rnacentral:rRNA from 1 species
AUGGAGCUCGCCACCAAUCACACCGCAGCCGCAGUGUUGUCCCCUGUAUUCAGCGGCGCUAUCUCGCAGCCCCGCCACACCCCGUCCUUACUCCCGCUAAAGCGCCGCACAAUCUGCGUGAUAAAUAUUGCAGAGUCGUGGAAGAACCCAGCCACUGCUCCAAACCAUGAGCACCUUCCUGGAAAUUGUCUUUGCCGGAUAGGCGCGGCAACUAGAGGAGCGUCUAGCAGACGCUACUGUGGGCCAGGACUUGUUGGAGGGAGGCGGGGAGAUGAUAACGUCCGCGAAAACUUGUGCGUCCUCCUUCAGAUGUCUGCGGUCUUCACCUACCGUGGCCAAAUGUCCGUUAUCAACUGGGGUUUGAUGCCCGCUGGAUCCUUUCUGUGA